GGUCGGGAGGAAAGUACAUCCGUGUUGGCGGCUGUGUGUCGACCGCAUGUCCACGUGCGCUCACGUCGUGCUGAACUCUUUAAAGUUCUGAGCUGGCUCUGGAAUCGACUAGUGUUUUGUAGUUAUUGUCGUGCCAUAUAGUGACUUGAAUUACGUGAUACACAUGAAAUUAAUGGGAAAUUGAUCGGUUUUUCCAUUUGAAAGCUUUACUUGAAUUGAUUUUUAGUACUAGUGUGUUGCAGGUGAAUAUCGAUCUUUCACGGUUUUCCCGAAUUUGCAACAGCGUGUCAUUUUGAACUGCAAAUAAAUACACUUCACCUAUUGGAUGCCUCGUUCCCCUGAAACUUUGAAAAAAAAUAUAUUACUGAAACAGCACUUUCCUCAGUGUGAACGUUAAUUGAAUUGGCUUAUACACACAGCAGACGUGAUUUUGACUACCUGUAGAAAAAAUGUUGCGACAGACAGCUCAAGUUAAAUAAUAACAACUGAAAGUAGGCCUAUACAUUCUAUUCCACCCGAGGUUUGAAAAGAAAGAGAAAGAAAGAAAGAAAGAAAAAAGCGUAGACAAAAGCUGCAGGUAAGGCAGGAUCCUUGUGGUCAGGACGAGGUUAGAAGAGACACCGUCCUUCAAGUGAGCGGCGUCCUGCAGCGGCGGCCGUCAGGAUAUCAGGACACCGGCUGCACCGCCUCCAGAUUCGGCACCGAGACGUGACGCCGCAUCGCUUGGAAUACAUUCCCACGGAGAUUUCAACUGUCGAAGAAGUAGUGAUCCACAAGGCCACUCCAGUCUACACAUAUCAGGUAAAUACUGAUUCUUAAAAAUAUCACAGUGAAUGUUGUCUUCUGAGCUAAUGCAAAGGAAGAGGGUGAGUGAGAAGGAGAAGGGGAAGGAGAAGGAGAAGGAGAAAGGGAAGGAGAGGGAGAAAGAGAUGGAAAAGGAAAGAAAGGGGGAGAAGAAGGAAAAGGAGAGGUAGAGAAAGAAGAAGAGGGAAAAGGAAAAAGAAAAAGAA